CAGUGGCGUAACGUUAUAUCAGGGGGCCCCCGGUUCAAAAUUUUCGAAGGCCCCCCCCUAGUAAGAAGUGCCAAAGGCACGAGUCGAGCGCCAUAUAUGUACGAGUAUUCUAGGGGGUCCAGGGCAUGCUCAUCCGGAAAAUUUUUGAAUCUAGACUCUCUGAAAUGCCAUUUCCUGGACUUUGGGGGAGAGAUUUUACAGAAUUCUGAUGGUCGUAAAACGACAUUGUAACAUAUCAGAGGCCCUGACCAAUGUUUUUGCUCUAUCGCCUAAGCCUGGGGGCCCCCAUUUAGGUUGGGGGCCCCCGGGUUCUCCCGGUCUGAGCCCAUAGUAGUUACGCCACUGA